ACCAAUCCAAAUUGAACAUAAUUUAUCGACAAUUUGCUUAGAAAUAAAUUAUAAAUACAGUUAGAAAUAUAUGCAAUUGAUAAUGUAAUAGUUAUAUGCAUAUAUAUAUUUAAUUUAGUUGAAUGUAAAAAGAUGUUGUAAUUAUAAAUAAUUUAUUUAAUUAUUGGAUUCUAGUUAAAAAAUAUAUUUACAAAAUCUGUCACUUUGUAUAUGAGAUUAUAAAAUUAUCUCCAAAAGAGAGAAAGGAAAGAAAAGAAAAGAAAUUGUAGGAGAGAAAUAGUUUUUUACUCAUUUGAGUCGAAAUUUGAAGAGCGUAAAAUUUGAGCUCUUUCCUAGCGUUUUUUUUGGACUCAACAACUAUGUAGUUUUAUCUUUAUUUUAUCAUCAGGUUCUAUCAUAAAUAAAAUAAAAUAAAGUAUUAAAGUAAAAUUUUUUACAAACCGCAGGACUGUAUAAUAUAGCAGCUUACCAUUCUAAAAAUU
rnacentral:lncRNA from 1 species